GUUGUUGUGGCCGAGAGGUUAAGCCGAUGGACUUGAAAUCCUUUGGGGUCUCCCCGCGCAGGUUCGAGUCCUGCCAGCAACG
rfam:Gasterosteus aculeatus cont1.009818, whole genome shotgun sequence.